rnacentral:rRNA from 1 species
UACGGAGGGAGCUAGCGUUGUUCGGAAUUACUGGGCGUAAAGCGCGCGUAGGCGGCUUUGUAAGUUAGAGGUGAAAGCCCGGGGCUCAACCCCGGAACUGCCUUUAAAACUGCAUCGCUUGAAUCCAGGAGAGGUGAGUGGAAUUCCGAGUGUAGAGGUGAAAUUCGUAGAGAUGUGGAGGAACACCAAUGGCGAAGGCAGCCUUCUGGGCCAACACUGACGCUCAUGCACGAAAGCGUGGGGAGCAAACAGG